GUGUUUGCUUUGGUAGUACAUAUACUAAAACUGAAAUGAUACAGAGAUUAGCGUGGCCCCUAUGCAAGGGUAACAUGCAAAUUCAUGAAGUGUUCCAUAUUUUU